ensembl:lncRNA
AAAUAGGAGGGCCAGGUGAGAGACGAUGAAGUCGUGAGCCACUAGAAGUACCAUGGAGGAUAUGGAGAAGUAAUUCCAGUGAUAUUAAGGACACUCGAUGGCUGAUUAGAUGAGAGUGAGGAGUUAACAUACCUAGGUUUUUUGGACUGAACAACUUGGACAAACAGAAGGAAGACUAGAAUUAGGAACCGGGUGAUACCUCCAGCUUCGGAGAUGCCAGCUAUCUGGAAGAAACCGUCUAGGCCAACGUUUCCUUGUUGAUGUUCUGUUUGGAUGUUUGGAUGACCUAUCCAUUGAUGUUAUUGGGGUGUGCCCAUGCAGAUGUCUCCCGCACAUACUUUCUCAUUGCCUUGGUUUCACAGACACCUUGAAGGGCCACAGAGUCAUCCUUGCUCCCUGACUAAUGCUUGAAACAUCCCUCUUCGAGGUUUAUGCUGUGCCUUCACAGGAUGGUCCCCGAAACAAGAUGGACCUGCAGACAUGAUCAAGAAGAAAGCAGUUCUCUGUGGAGUAUUAGGCCUAAUUAUGGUGAAUGUGGGGAAGCUGAGAGUACAGAUUUACGCUGAUAUCAGGGGCUUGAUUUAGCUGCAAGUUCUGCAUCCACCUCAUCACACACAGUGCUAUGCGCUAAAAUAUCUGGAUGAAAGACUGUUUCCCCAUGGCCCAAGUCCUCCAAUAGAAGGAUCAUAUGAAGCCACAUCUAACGUCUGUUUCCCAGACUGUGGGAGAAGCCAUUGGCUUUGGGGCAAGCUGCCAGCACAGGCUGAUAGAUUGCAGCUGUCCUGUCCAUGGUUCUGGGGAGUCGAUAACUCAUGUUCCCAGAGUAAAGGCCAGAGCAGGAAGAGGACAUGUGAAACAUUCAUGAGCAGAUAUUUUGGACAUGGAAAUCCUCCCGGGCUGGGAUUUCCAGUAUUCCAGUGGGGAUACCAGGUCUUAGCCAGUCAGCCCCAAUAGUGUCUUUCUAAUGAUCUUGGUCCUUCUGGUCCCACCACUGUGGCCCUGCUUAAGGCCUGAGGGCUCCACAAUUGGAGAAUUGUUUCUGGAACUUUAUAAAAAAGGAUUUUUGAAUUUCUUUUUCAGUUUAGAGAUAUUAGGAGCUUCCUAUUACCAGAAUGUAGGUCCAAUCCUAUAUCCAAAGUGAGAUGUAUUAGGAGGUCUCCUAAUGUCUGCCAACUCAACACUUAGAUCAUAUUUUGGUCCAAGCGUCCCAGAAAUAAGAUAGACAUUUUUCUUAGACCCUCAUUACUACUUCCAAGAUAUCAUUCCUCCAUCUUGUCUUAGCCCCCUGCUUUUUGAGUUUGUUGCCCAUCAGCUACAUCAGCCUCAUCACUCAUAUCUACCUCAAGUCAUUUUCAUCCUUCUUUAAGAAUGUAGUCAUUGGAAUUUUUCUUUUGUCCCAUCUGUUCUUCUAUUUUCCCUCUUUUUCUGCCUUCUUUAGAUUGAGUAUGUUUUACGAUUUUAUUUUAUCAUGUUUGUUGGAUAUUAUCUAUGUCUUUGUUGUAUUAUUUUGGUGUUUGUUUUAGGGUUUAGAGUUUAUAAUAUAUGUGUUUAAUUUGUAACUCCCUUCAAGUGAUAUUAUACAACUUUCCUUACAGUAUAAGAACCUUACUAUAGCAUACUUCCAUUUCUCCCCUCCUGGUCUUUUGCUAUAGCUGUCCUAUGUUUCACUUAUACGUAGAUCACAAAUUCAAAAAUAUAGUUAUUACUUUUGCUUUAAGUGGCCUAUUGUCUUUUACAUAUAUUUAAAUAAUAAGGGAAAUCGUAUUUACAUCUACAGGUGUAGUUACCAUUUCCGGUGCUUUUUUACUCCUCUGCACUGAGCCAGAUUCUAUUU